rnacentral:rRNA from 1 species
UACGUAGGUGGCAAGCGUUGUCCGGAUUUAUUGGGUUUAAAGGGUGCGUAGGCGGCCUAUUAAGUCAGUGCUGAAAUAUCCCGGCUUAACCGGGAGGGUGGCAUUGAUACUGAUGGGCUUGAGUGCAGUCGAGGUAGGCGGAAUUGACGGUGUAGCGGUGAAAUGCGUAGAUAUCGGGAAGAACACCAAAGGCGAAAGCGCUCUGCUGGGCCGAAACUGACACUGAGAGACGAAAGCUAGGGGAGCGAAUGGG